rnacentral:lncRNA from 1 species
CUGGUGUGUGGUAGGCUCGAUGUUGUGGCGCAUGAAUAACGAGAUAGCGAUGGAAGGUGUAAGCUCAAUCUGAUGCCACUCAUCAAUCUACAAUGGCCAAUCAUUCACUCGCCUACAUAGAAUUUCUCCUACUUCAUUCCAAUUGAAAUUUUCAGGAAUUUGCACAACAUUCAUGUAGUGAACAUAAUCUCCUUGUCCCCUCACCCAUGUCUGAUAUAGAUAAAGAGCCAGGAGAUAAGGAAUCCACCAUGCUUUCGAAAGAUGGAAGGAGUCCUCCAUACGAAUAUUGGACCUCGAGUCCCUUUCUUAUGUCGCGAUAAGGAUACUUCUAAAGCAUGUUCGUAAACAUAUUUCAAGCCUCAUCAAAGGAUUCGAAUUCACCUUGAUAGAAAAUAGAUAUGUCAUACUUCAACUUCGCUAUUUUGGCUGUAGGAAGAACUUUGUGUGGAACUUUUAAGCUAGAUCAUUCCUAGUGUUGAUACUGACAAUGGAUUGGGAAUCCAGUCACUCAAGUGCUCUAUCACAUAGAGUAUGUGGAAAUAGCCUUAGUCUGAUAGCAUCAUUUGAAAUCCUCUUAUACAAAAAAUGUUGAUACAUCUCCAAGCAUUGAGAGACGAGCAUAUGUGGAUUUUCCUCAACUCUACCAUAAAAUUGAUGUUCAUUUUGAAAUAGAUGGAUGAUGUUGGUCUUCAGCUGAAAGUUAGGCUGCCCAAAUUGAGGGUACAUAAUGCUGGAUUGACUCUAAAUGAUCUAUAGGAUUAUGAAAUCCCCAACAGGCAUAUUUUCCUCAUCAAUGGCUUCUUCCUUUUCACUUGAAUUACUGGGUUAUUUUGCUCGUUAACCAUUUGUAUUUGCUUUUUUUGGUCUUUUUGC